GUUCUUCCCCCACCACAUAUAUAUGGUUCUUCCCAAUUCGCGCCUAGUUUGCCUUUGGAGCAGUCUCUUCGAUUGAUAUUAGAAGGAGAAGAAGAAGAAGAAGAAGAAGACCAAGAAGAAGAAGACCAAGAAGAAGAAGACCAAGAAGAAGACCAAGGAAGAAAUGAUGUUCAAUAUAACCCGGCAGCUUACCCGCUGGCAGAUAUUUUUUUCAAAUUAUAUCCCGGCGGCUUGGCCGCUAGAAGAUAUUUUUUUGAAAUAAUCUCCCAGCGGCCUGGCCGCUGGUCAAUAUAUUCCGGCAAAAAAAAAAGAUUCCCCGGGAAAAAAGUUCUGGCGGCCAGGCCGCUGGUUAAUUUUUGAAUAUUUUUUUAAAUUUUUAAAUUUUUUUAUUCAAUUAUAUAUUUAGAUAAUUGAAAUUGUAUGAAAUGAAAUGAAGAAAUGAAAAUGAAAUUGAAAUUUAUGUUCGAUAAUGAAAGUACGAAAAAAAUUAAAUUCGGU
rnacentral:lncRNA from 1 species